rnacentral:lncRNA from 1 species
AGUAUAAGACAUAGUUGUGUGUAUACAUAUAUCAUUAUUAUUAUAGUUUGUCUUUUUGGCCCAAUUUUGUCAGAAUGACAUACAGUGUCAUUAACCAUAAGCUAUCUGGUAAUUCAUACAAAGAAGGCCUAAUAUGCAUCAUUAGAGUUACAUGGAUAAAGAUGGUAAAUGUCUGUGCCUUUUUUUUUUUUUGCUGUAACUUAGAGUUUUUUUCAGCUUUGUAUGCUUAUCUUUGUGUUCUGAUUAUAAGUUUUAUAUAGAUAUCAGACAAUGAAACUUGUCAUUUAAGUAGACAGGGAGUCUGAAUAAGGUCAGGAAUAACUUAACUCCAGUGAUUUGCAUUAACAAAUCACUGAUAGGAUGCAACUUCCUGUUGACUCCCAAUUUUGAAUGUAAUCUUUAGAAUUAUCUAGUAUCAAGUAAAUUCUGCCAUUUUAUAGAGUAUUCUGUUACAGUAAUUUGGAAUCUUACAGGAUAUACUUUAAAGUCUUCUGAGUAAAUCUGUAUUAUAAAGGUCUGU